rnacentral:lncRNA from 1 species
AAAAUUGUGAAAAGCCAACAAAUAUGCACGUGAAGUGUUGUCAAAACACGGCAUUAUGACGUCAUACAACACAAAAAAAUUUUUUUUUCAUAAAAUGAAUAUGUUCAACGGAAAAAGAAAUCCAUACACAUACGAAUAAGUAGAAUUUGAUAAAUUCUCGAAAUUGAGGCCAAUUUUGCCCCUUAUAGCCCCUUCUCCUUUACUUGAUAAUACUCGACUGUAGUCUGAACCAUACUUAACAGUCUGAAUUUGUACUUGACCAGUUCUUAACCAUUUUAUACGAGUCUGAACCAUGCUCGACCUAGUCUGAACCAUACUCGACCUAGUCGGAACCGU